rnacentral:rRNA from 1 species
AGUGAACGCUGGCGGCAGGCCUAAUACAUGCAAGUCGAACGGCAGCACAGCAGCGCUUGCUCUGUGGGUGGCGAGUGGCGGACGGGUGAGGAAUACAUGGGAAUCUGCCCAGUCGUGGGGGAUAACGUAUGGAAACGUACGCUAAUACCGCAUGCGCCCUUUGGGGGAAAGCCGGGGACCUUCGGGCCUGGCGCGAUUGGAUGAGCCCAUGUUCGAUUAGCUAGUUGGCGGGGUAAAGGCCCACCAAGGCGACGAUCGAUAGCUGGUCUGAGAGGAUGAUCAGCCACACUGGGACUGAGACACGGCCCAGACUCCUACGGGAGGCAGCAGUAGGGAAUAUUGGACAAUGGGCGCAAGCCUGAUCCAGCCAUGCCGCGUGAGUGAAGAAGGCCCUCGGGUUGUAAAGCUCUUUUGUCCGGAAAGAAAAGCAUUCGGUUAAUACCCGGGUGUUCUGACGGUACCGGAAGAAUAAGCACCGGCUAACUUCGU